GUCCUUUUGAUUUUUAUUUAAGGUCUGACCUGCCCACUGAUUUAUUUAAUGGCCGCGGUAUUUUGACCGUGCAAAGGUAGCAUAAUAAUUUGUCUUUUAAUUGAAGGCUUGUAUGAAUGGUUGGACGAGAAAACUACUUUCUUUAUAAUAAAAUAAUUAAUUUUAUUUUUUAGUUAAAAAGCUAAAAUUUUGUUGUAGGACGAGAAGACCCUAUAGAACUUUAUAUUUAUUUAUAUAUUAAUAUUUUUGGUUAAUGAUAUAUUGUAUUUUUAUAAGUAUUUUGUUGGGGCGACAAGAAAAUUUAUUUAACUUUUUUUUAUUAAUUUCAUUAAUUAAUGUAUAAAUGAUCCUUUAUUAUGGAUAAUUAGAAUAAGUUACCUUAGGGAUAACAGCGUAAUUUUUUUGGAGAGUUCUUAUCGAUAAAAAAGUUUGCGA
rnacentral:rRNA from 1 species